UGGGGAAUAUUGCACAAUGGGCGCAAGCCUGAUGCAGCCAUGCCGCGUGUAUGAAGAAGGCCUUCGGGUUGUAAAGUACUUUCAGCGAGGAGGAAGGCGUUGUGGUUAAUAACCGCAACGAUUGACGUUACUCGCAGAAGAAGCACCGGCUAACUCCGUGCCAGCAGCCGCGGUAAUACGGAGGGUGCAAGCGUUAAACGGAAUUACUGGGCGUAAAGCGCACGCAGGCGGUCUGUCAAGUCGGAUGUGAAAUCCCCGGGCUCAACCUGGGAACUGCAUCCGAAACUGGCAGGCUAGAGUCUUGUAGAGGGGGGUAGAAUUCCAGGUGUAGCGGUGAAAUGCGUAGAGAUCUGGAGGAAUACCGGUGGCGAAGGCGGCCCCCUGGACAAAGACUGACGCUCAGGUGCGAAAGCGUGGGGAGCAAACA
rnacentral:rRNA from 1 species